ACAGAGGUCUCAAGCGUUAUUCGGAAUCACUGGGCGUAAAGCGUACGUAGGCGGUAAAGUAAGUCUGAUGUGAAAUGUACGGGCUCAACCUGUAAACUGCAUUGGAUACUGCGUUACUAGAGCAAUGGAGGGGAAACCGGAAUUCUCGGUGUAGCAGUGAAAUGCGUAGAUAUCGAGAGGAAGACUCGUGGCGAAGGCGGGUUUCUGGACAUUAGCUGACGCUGAGGUACGAAGGCUAGGGUAGCGAAAGG
rnacentral:rRNA from 1 species